UUCCAGUCUUGUAAAAGUACAGUUGACUCUGUGGUGGUGUGUGGACCACUGUAUAUGGAUAUCCCGUGCAUGUUUGCUAAGAGAUGCUGUGUUUCUGUUGAAAUAGAUAAGUCUUGGUACCAGUGACACAGUCUUCCUAUGGAUUCAGGACACCAGACCAACAGUGGAAGGACAUAUAUUUUGCAGUCCAGUUGAUAGCCAGGCUUACAUGGCAUUGAUAUGUUUUAAAAAUGGCUCCUUUACCAGAGAGAGAAUCAGGGAGGAAUGUGCAGGAGGAUCAUGGGAAGAGUUUUCAAAAGCUCUGAAGGCCACACCUGUUGGGAAUAACGGCAACAUAGGAAUUUAUUUUGAUGUGAUGGAGAUUACCCCAGCAGCCGUGGGGGUUCACAGAGUUAAUGGGGAAAACGACAAAGUAAGACCAGGGGUACAGUUCAACAGGUUGUAUUAUAUUGUAUGCAGUCAGCAA